rnacentral:rRNA from 1 species
UAAUACGGGGGGUGCGAGCGUUGUCCGGAAUCACUGGGCGUAAAGGGCGCGUAGGUGGUUUGAUAAGGGUGUGGUGAAAGUCCGGGGCUCAACCCCGGAUCUGCCGUGCCGACUGUCAAACUCGAGGACUGUAGAGGCAGACGGAAUUCCGGGUGUAGCGGUGGAAUGCGUAGAGAUCCGGAGGAAGACCGGUGGCGAAGGCGGUCUGCUGGGCAGUUUCUGACACUGAGGCGCGACAGCGUGGGGAGCAAACAGGAUUAGAUACCCUGGUAGUCCACGCUGUAAACGAUGGGCACUAGGUGUCCGGGGUAUUGACCCCCUGGGUGCCGCAGCUAACGCAUUAAGUGCCCCGCCUGGGGAGUACGGUCGCAAGAUUA